UUGGCCUCAUACAGUGCUGGGGUUACAGGCGUGAGCCACUGUGCCUAGCCGAGAGGUUAAACAUUUUUUUGCUGAGCAUCACACCUUAGUGUGGUGGUGAUAGGAUUUGAUUCCUGGGCUGUUAGGUUAAAACAUUUGAAGUCCUAAUUACUAUGUUUUCUUAAAUGUUUUUAGUAGCAGAAUCUAGCAUUACACAUGAAUCAAAUUUAUAUGCCUGCAUUAUGUUCUGACAAUUAACAAUAUUUGCUGAGUAUACACUAUCUAGAGAAUACUUAACGUGAAGUUGUCAGACACAACUUUUCAGGCUGAACACUACAUAACUCUGGGGGGGGGGCCAUUUGCUUGUACUCAUUAUGAAUGGUAUACCCUUUAUUUGUGAAUGCUAAGACUAGAACUUGACAUGUCUGUUGGGAUAUUCAACAGGGUAGCUCAGGUGUCAGAUCCUGAAGCAACUUUGGAUUUCAUCCUAGAUUUCCUUAUCAUAGUAUAUUUCACCACCGUUUAGCAAAUUUCUGAGAACAAAAUUUUUGGAAUAAUUAUGAUUUCUUUCCUUUCCUUACACCUCACAUUUAUUCAGCCAACAAGUUAUGUAGGCUCUACUUUCAAAGUACAUCCUGAAUUCAGUACUUUUUACCACUUCCACCUUUUAAAAAUUCUAGUCUGUCACCAUUUAGAUCAGCACUGUCAAAUAGAAAUGUAAUGGGAACCACAUUUGCAAUUUAAAAUUUUAUAAUUGCUACAUUAAAAAAGAAACAGGUAAAGUUAAUUUUAAUCAUAUAUGUCAUCUAAACCAAUGUAUCUAAAGUAUUAUCAUUUCAACAUGUAAUAAAUGUUAAGAAUUAUUGAGAUAUUUUACUACUUUUCUCUUCUGCUAACUUCAAAAUCUGGUAUUUUAUACUUAAAGCGCAUUUCAAUUCAGAUGAGCCACAUUUCAAGUGCUUAAUAACUACAUGGGGCUAAAGAAUACCAUAUUGGACAGACUCUGAUCUCAAGUUCUGCUACACCUUUCUGAUUUGGCUAUCUUAUUUCUACUCCUGUCUCAGUCACCUCUCAACAUUGCAGCCAGAUAAUUCUUUGAAAAUUGUAAAUCAAAUCAUUCAUUCCUCUGUCUAAAUCCUCUAGUGCUUCUAUUACAAGCAGAAAAAGGAUGAAUUUUUUCUGUAGUCUGUAAGGCGCUGCAUGAUUUGGCUCCUUUUCUAUGUGUUAUUACUAAAACUUCUUACAGUACAGUGAAAUACAUCAAACAAUCAAUUAUUUCUUCCUUUGCAAAGAAAGUAUUGUAGCCUUUUUAGGCUACUGUACAAUUGUCAUCUUAGAGCCUAUUUAGCAUUAUCCUGGAAAUUUUCUUUGCUUUUUUUGCAGUAGAGCCCUUAUUUUUCAUAUAUUUUCCUUAGUUUACUCAUUUCACUGAAAGCCUUUCAUAUCUUUCUUAAAUAGGAUGUAUGGGAGGUAAAUUUUCUUUUAUGUCUGACAAUAUCUUUAUUUUACCUUUACUCUCAAAUUAAUAGUUUUUCCAGGUAUAAAAUUCUGAAUUCAGUAUCAUUUUCUAUCAUAAUUUUGAAAAUAUGACUACUGUCUCCUGGUUUUAAAUAGUGCUCUUGAUUAGUCCAGUAUUAUACUGAUUGCUAAUCAUUUGUGUCUUUUUUUUCUCUAAGACUUUUUAAAUUAUUUUCUUUGUCACUGGUGCUCUGAGGUUUCAUGUUGACAUAUUGAUAUGAUGACAUUUAUUUAAUGCUUUAUAGAAUAUAAAUUAAUUUCAUUUAAAUUAGUUUAUUCAGUCAUAGAAAUCUUAUACAUUAUAUAAUUCUGGCAGUAUUAUUAUUUCCACUUCUCCACUGACAGAAGGCUGAAUUAAGAGAUUAUUUGGACUUGAACCUAAGCCGCCUUAUUUCAUUUUCAUUUUCUGUAUUCUUCAUUCUUUGGGAUGAUAGACCAUCCAGCAUGGAAUAUUAUAUAUAAUUUGAAUA